ncrna:unclassified sequences ROOL RNA
UAUAUGAUAUAAUGUACUUUGUAACCAGUUGGAAACCCAUCUAACAAAUGGGGCUGGACACGCUGAAUAGUGGCACACGUUUCGAAGGGAUACCUUUGAAGACGUAAUAGAUGUUCCGUAGAAAAGUAAUUUUCUUGGUAAGAAUGUAGAUAAAGACGCAUUCAAAACAUGGCGUGGUGCAAUAGAAUAAGUGGAAGUUAAGUGACUAUGCGAAAUCGGGAUCACAAUAGACGGUCCGUGGGACAGGAAUCCAUUAUUGCAAUGUGUGGUAGCAUUGCUUCUGAUGGAAAAACCAAUAAGAUCUUAGUUCGGUUGAUGGGAGAAAUUCCUAUAAGAGAAAGCAUAGGUACAAGUAGAGGAAACCCGACAUUAUAAAUAAUUCUAUUAUAAUUGGUAUAAAGACUAUUAUUACUUCUGAAAGUUCUCGAAAGUUGUGAGUAAAAUCCCACUUGGGUUUAUGGAAACAGACUAAAGAAGGUUAGAAUUAGCUAUUCUAUCCUCAGACUUUAGCCCCCAAUGCAUGAAUGACAGCUUAUUCUACUUGUAAGGUGAAGACCUACAUUUUUAAGACACCCAAA